AGUCAGUUAUUAGUCCUGAUUAUUUUCACCUGUGAAAGCCCUGAAUCAUCAGUCCUGCUGAACUGCCUGCAGACUAACAUCACAAACAGGUAAACUUUAUACUGAAAGCUUCAUUCCCUUUAAAGCAGAGUUUUUAUAUGUGAGGUAAUCUUGCUGGGAGUGAAGGCAGUGCAUGUGACCGCUUGAUAUGAGAGACACAUACUGUAUUUAAAUGUGAUGUAUGCAUGUUACUUUCAAUACUGACAUUAAAAUAAUAGUUAUUUACUGUUAAAAACAUUAUGAAAAUUGAAGUUUUGUGUGUUCUUAUUGUACUUUAUAUCAUUUAUAACAGGUCAACUUUAUACUGUAAGCUUCAUUCCAUUUAUAACAGAGUUUUCAUAUGUGAGGGAAUCUUGCUUAUGCUGGAAGUGAAGGCAGUGCGUAUGACCGCUUGAUACAAGAGACACAUUCUAUUUUUAAAGGUCAACAUACUGUAAGCUUCAUUCACUUUAAAGCAGAGGUUUCAUAUGUGAGGUAAUCUUGCUUAUGCUGGGAGUGAAGAGUGUGUAUGACCACUUGAUAUGAAAGACACAUCCUGUUUUUAAAGGUGGAUCAUGAGUGAAGCUCUGCAGGUCUGCCAUUGGCUUGAUAACAGUGGUUAUGUGAAUUGAGUGAAUUCAAUUUAUAAAUAAAUCUUUCACCAAGCAUUCACCUAUUUACGGACAAAACAGAUCCAAAUCUUGUUCAGCUUGAUGCUCAACCUUGUAUGAUGAUGACCACAGCCAGGUGAUGGAGAUCUGUUUUAAUCACAGCCUGCAUCUCAAGAUCAACAUGACAACAGCAGAUCAUUUCUUAUCUUACUCUUAUGAUCCCGUAAAGAAAAUAAUAUGGACUUUUUUGGUGAGAUUCUACAAAGAUUGACACAAUCCUAUUGACUUUUAUUUUUACAGUUAAUAAUGCAUUAUAAACAUCCCAUUCAUUUUUAUUCUAUGUCAUCGAUCUGUUUGUGCUAAAAUGUAUACAUCUGAAUGUAAUGUCAAUAAUAUGUUAAUAUUCAGGAUUUAUUAUCAUUUGCAUGUUUUGAUGUUGCAUGUCAUGAUUUUAUUGAUUUUAUGUAAUUGUUGUCUAUUUAAAAUGAUUUUAAUUGCCAAAUUUUAUGGUUAAUUUA